CUACUGAAUAGAUGGCAGGCUUUUCCAGCAUUCUCCUGAGCUCUAGAUUCUCUUCAAUCUGGGCCUGGGAACUGUCAAAAUCUAUUAUCUCAAGGUCAGGGUAUGGCACUUUCAUCUACAAAUCUGAGAAGCCUCAUGUGUGGAUAGUUUAAAUCCUGCUUAAGUAAUUGUUUCAUGUUCAGUUGACAAGUGAGAUUGGUUCUCCUUCCAAAACUAAAGGGCUAAUUUUUGGCCUUAGUUCCAGGCAGAUUUAACAAGCUCACAUAAUAGGUCAACCAGUGACAGGCUAUUGGGGAAGAAGAAUGAGGGGAAGACAGCUUGUGCUGCUAGUGUGGGCUGCAAGGAAAGCAAAAAGUCAUAGUUCACCUAAUGGUCUGACUUACUCUGGAAUCUUCUUGAACACUGCCAAUGCCAUUAUCCAUUACCAGGCACUCCUCUACCAUGCACGCACCGACUUGAUGCUUAAUAAAACUGCUGCUGUAUUUAAU
rnacentral:lncRNA from 1 species